GAUGAACGCUGGCGGCGUGCCUAAUACAUGCAAGUCGAGCGAACAGACGAGGAGCUUGCUCCUCUGACGUUAGCGGCGGACGGGUGAGUAACACGUGGAUAACCUACCUAUAAGACUGGGAUAACUUCGGGAAACCGGAGCUAAUACCGGAUAAUAUAUUGAACCGCAUGGUUCAAUAGUGAAAGACGGUUUUGCUGUCACUUAUAGAUGGAUCCGCGCCGCAUUAGCUGGUUGGUAAGGUAACGGCUUACCAAGGCAACGAUGCGUAGCCGACCUGAGAGGGUGAUCGGCCUCACUGGAACUGAGACACGGUCCAGACUCCUACGGGAGGCAGCAGUAGGGAAUCUUCCGCAAUGGGCGAAAGCUUGACGGAGCAACGCCGCGUGAGUGAUGAAGGUCUUCGGAUCGUAAAACUCUGUUAUUAGGGAAGAACAAAUGUGUAAGUAACUAUGCACGUCUUGACGGUACCUAAUCAGAAAGCCACGGCUAACUACGUG
rnacentral:rRNA from 1 species